AUUAACAAGCAAAGACGUGCAAAAGCAGGUAAAGAGCAUAAGGGAUUAACAACCACGACAUGCAAAGAACAGUAAUAAAAGAAUUAAAAUUCUUCGUGACCCAUUCGUGGAAACCCAACAUCUAUUCUAUUUUAAAGAAAAAAUAAAAUAAAUAAAAAAAGGACAAUAAAAAGCCCAAAAACCGCCUAAACAGGCUCAAAAACUGAUCCAGCCCUUGAUUGGGCCCAAAACGCGCGGCCCAGCCGCCCAGGCCCGUCCAGCAGCUGCCCAAAUCCACGCUCCCAGCCACUCCAGGCCCAAAACCGCAAGCCCAAACCAUCUCUGGCCCAGAUCCGCGCUCAGGAUCCAUCGAC
rnacentral:lncRNA from 1 species